rnacentral:rRNA from 1 species
UACGUAGGUGGCAAGCGUUACUCGGAAUCACUAGGCGUAAAGCGCAGGUAGGCGGUUUGGUAAGUCUGUUGUGAAAGCUCCUGGCUUAACUGGGAGAGGUCAACGGAAACUACCAGGCUUGAGUGUGGUAGAGGUAGCUGGAAUUCCCGUUGUAGCGGUGAAAUGCGUAGAUAUCGGGAGGAAUACCUAUGGCGAAAGCAGGCUACUGGACCAUCACUGACGCUGAUCUGCGAAAGCUAGGGGAGCAAACAGG